rnacentral:rRNA from 1 species
UUGAUCUCAAUCAGGUAGGACUACCCGCUAACUUAAGCAUAUCAAUA